AGGAAGUGCAAGCAACCGCGAUUGCUUCAGUAACGGCGAGUGAAUGGGCAACACAAUCUCAGCCUGAAGUGAAUCCCAGACUGCACUGUCUUGUGGCAGUUGCGUCCGGCUCUCUUGGGUUCAAAUGCUGUGGGCUGUGGAGCAGGUGGCAGUGAUCAGGCUUGGUCAUGCAUCAGGAAUGGCCCUGGAAGGGCUUACCAGAGUGGGAUACUGUCCUUUACGAAGACCUGUGUGUGUGGCCAGCUUGGACGUUGCUGCUUGCAUCCAGGAGUAGAGUGGCUUGGGACUGCAGUUUGAAGUGCAGGGUAUAUCCCCUGUAAGGCAGCAUACUGACAUGGGACCGAUAGUGCACAAGUAGAGUGAUCGAAGGAUGCAAAGGACUCUGCAAAGAGGGUUAAAAGCCCCUGAAGCCUCAGCAGGAACGGCGGUGAGUGGUGCUGUGGUUCUCAGUCCAAGGGCAUGCUUUCACACCUCUGUGGGUAAGCUGGGGUGCAAGGUUGCUGCUGGCCUCACCCAGGUGGUGUAAGGUCACAGUGGAUCUGCCACAGUGAAGCCUGCCUAGGUUGUGGAGUGUGUUGCUUGUGGCUGCUGUCCUCUGGCUUGGUGGUCAACCAGGUCAAGACAGGUUGUGUAGAUGCUACCAAGUGCCCUUGGGCCAGCCCAGAGCUGGCUACUGAGCUCUGUCCUCCAGGAUGGGAUGCAGUCGUAGCAGUGAAGUGGUGGCAGUAUGCCUGCCUGGGCCUGAGGGAUCACUGAUAUGUCUCCAGAGAGUUGCGAUAGCAGUGCUGGGACCAUCAAACCUGGUGUGUCUUCGGACAUGCCAGUGGCUGUGUUGAGCUCUGGUUGGGGUUGGUGGCUGCAUGGUGGCUGCACCAUUCUGAUGGUGGCCCUGUGUGGUUGCUGGCCCUCCAGACUUGGCAUGGUCAGAAGGCAGCUGAGCUUGGUACAAGCAGUGCCACUCUCUGCCCGUCUUGAAACACGGACCAAGGAGUCUAUGGAGCUUGCAAGCUUGCCAGUGGUUCAAACCAGAAGGCGUGGUGAAGGCAAGAGCAACCCCAGAUGGGUAUCAACUCUGCAUGGGGCACCAGUCCCAAAGUCCAGUGGACAGGGUUCUGAGUGAUUGCAAGGUCCAUGGGACCCGAAAGGUGGUGAACUAUACCGUGCUAUGAUGAAGCCGUGGGAAACUGCGGUGGAGGUCAGUCGCUGUUCUGACGUGCAAAUUGUGUAGCCUGAGUGCGGCAUAGGGGUGAAAGGCCAAUCGAGCCACCUAGUAGC
rnacentral:rRNA from 1 species